GCCGGGCCGGCGCCUGCGUGCGGCGGGCAUCCCGGCCACCGGUGAUUCCUGCCUCCCGGUGCUUGCCUCCCGGUUCCUGCUUCCUGCCGCCGCCGCCAUGGAUUACCGGGCGCUGGUGAUGAGCCAGGUCGUGCCCGGGCAGUUCGACGAUGCGGAUUGCUCAGACAGUGAAUCUGUGGAAGACACAGAAGCGUGUAAAGAGGGUGAGGUCCCUGAGAGCUGCCAGUUAUGCACGUGUGAAGAAGUUAAUGCUGAGGAAGGAGAUGGUGAUGAUGACAACGAUGCUGAAGAGGAAGAUGAAGACUGGGACUGGGAUGAUGAGGUGGGAAGACUCACGAAGCGGCACAAUGCUGCUGGUGGAUGCAAUCCACAGGCAAAUAGACAGAUCCCUAAUUGCUCUUCAGCAAAACUGUCAACUCCUGCAGGCAAGGUUUUAAGAAAAUUUGAACACAAAAUCAAUUUAGAUAAGCUAAAUUUUGAUGACUCUGUUAUAAACAGAGUCACAGAAAAGUCUAGACAGAAGGAAGCAGACAUGUACCGAGUCAAAGACAAGUCAGACAGAGCAACAGUAGAGCAGGUGUUGGACCCAAGGACCCGAAUCAUUCUGUUCAAGAUGCUUUCUAGAGGUAUCAUAUCAGAAAUCAAUGGCUGCAUCAGCACAGGGAAAGAAGCCAAUGUGUAUCAUGCCAGUACUGUAAAUGGAGAGAACAGAGCAAUAAAGAUUUACAAAACCUCUAUUCUGAUGUUUAAAGAUCGGGAUAAGUAUGUGAGUGGUGAAUUCAGAUUUCGUCAUGGAUACUGCAAAGGCAACCCAAGAAAAAUGGUGAAGACAUGGGCCGAAAAAGAAAUGAGGAAUUUAAUAAGGUUAAAUACAGCCCAGAUACCAUGCCCAGAGCCAAUUAUGCUAAGGAGUCAUGUGCUUGUCAUGGGUUUUAUUGGUAAAGGUGAUAGGCCUGCUCCUCUGCUGAAGAAUGCUCAGUUGUCUGACUCCAAAGUCCGGGAACUGUACCUACAGAUCAUCCAGUACAUGAGAAGAAUGUACCAAGAUGCCAGACUUGUUCACGCAGAUCUCAGUGAAUUUAAUAUGCUGUACCACGGAGGGGACGUGUACAUCAUUGACGUGUCUCAGUCUGUGGAGCACGACCACCCGCACGCACUGGAGUUCCUGCGCAAGGAUUGUGCCAACGUUAACGACUUUUUCCAGAAGCACAAUGUUGCAGUGAUGACAGUGAAGGAGCUGUUUGAAUUUAUUACUGAUCCUUCUAUCACAAGUGAAAACAUUGAUGACUACCUAUCUAAGGCAAUGGAAAUAGCAUCGAAAAGAACAGAGGAGGAAAGAUCCAGUCAAGAUAAAGUGGAUGAGGAAGUAUUUAAGAAGGCCUACAUACCUCGAACUCUGACUGAAGUUAAAAACUAUGAGAGGGAUGUGGACAUAAUGAUGAAAUUGAAAGAAGAGGAUAUGGCAUUGAAUGUUCAGCAAGAUAAUAUUCUCUACCAGACUGUGACAGGACUGAAGAAGGAUUUGUCUGGUGUUCAGAAGAUUCCUGCACUCCUUGAAGAGGCAGGCUAUUCAGAAACAGACUCUGAUGAUGAUGAUGAUGGUGGUGGCAGCUCAGAGGACUCUGAUUUGGCCUGUAAAGAAUCGGUACAUCCCAAAGACAAACCUGCUGAAGUUAGCAUGGACAAAAAGGUUUCUCAUUCUGUGGUCCUCAGUCAGGCAUGAGCUUGGAGUGUGAAGUGGACACGUGUUGCAGAGCACUGUGUCUAUCUGGGCUGUGAAGAGGCCUUUAUGUGGACUUGAGAGCUUCCACUGUGCACUGUGGACCUCAGGUGUGACAGAUACCUGGAGCCUGGAGGAAAUGUGAACCAGGAACCCUCUUAUCAUUUUUUCAUGUGGAGAAACGAGCAGCAAUGCCCACAGAUGCUACCACAAAGUGAUUAAAACUUCAAUAAAUAGAAAUGAGAUGUUGGCUUUCUGUGACCAGCCAGGCCCUUUUAUAGGAAGCCCAUCAAUUACAUUAAGUGCCCUGUGGCUGCCUAUGGGUUGUGCUGUGCAGAAUUAAAGGAUUACAAUUUGUAUGGGAUUAGCAACCUGAGAUUAUCUCAGCUGGUCAGAUCAAGGUUUUGGGAUCAAUCCCUGUAUGGACGAUUUACUUCAAAGUUUGACUCAAUGAUCCUCGUGGGCCCUUUCCAACUCAUGAUAGUCUGUGACCUGGAAAUAAAUUAACUAUUUCAGCAAUGCUGGUGUUGUUGCCAUUUCUCUGGGAAUGUUUAAUGAGUACAAUUUUUUGACAAUACGUGAGGCUG